rnacentral:rRNA from 1 species
GACGAACGCUGGCGGCGUGCUUAACACAUGCAAGUCGAACGAAGUGGCGAACGGGUGAGUAACGCGUAAUCAACCUGCCCUUCAGGGGGGGAAAACAGUUGGAAACGACUGCUAAUCCCGCAUACUGAAGGAGGGGAUUGCGUCUGAUUAGCUAGUUGGGGGGGUAACGGCCCACCAAGGCGAUGAUCAGUCGCCGGUCUGAGAAGAUGAACCGCCACAUUGGGACCGGGACACGGCCCAAACUCCUACGGGGGGAAGCAGUGGGGAAUAUUCCGAAAUGGACCGAAGGCCGACGGAGCAACGGCGCGUGAGUGAUGAAGGCCUUCGGGUUGUAAAGCUCUGUUAAUCGGGACGCGGUACCGGAAGAGAAAGCAACGGCUAACUACGUGCCAGCAGCCGCGGUAAUAC